rnacentral:rRNA from 1 species
AAGGAAUACCGAUUGCGAAGGCGAUCUACUGGAACAUUACUGACGCUCAGAUGCGAAAGCGUGGGGAGCAAACAGGAUUAGAUACCCUGGUAGUCCACGCCCUAAACGAUGUACACUAGUUGUUGCUAUACUAGAUAUGGCAGUAAUGCAGUUAACACUUUAAGUGUACCGCCUGGGGAGUACGGUCGCAAGAUUAAAACUCAAAGGAAUAGACGGGGACCCGCACAAGCGGUGGAGCAUGUGGUUUAAUUCGACGAUACGCGAAAAACCUUACCUGGCCUUGACAUAGUAGGAAUCUUUAAGAGAUUAGAGAGUGCUAGCUUGCUAGAACCUACAUACAGGUGCUGCACGGCUGUCGUCAGCUCGUGUCGUGAGAUGUUGGGUUAAGUCCCGCAACGAGCGCAACCCACGUGAUUAGUUGCUAACGGUUCGGCCGAGAACUCUAAUCAGACUGCCUUCGUAAGGAGGAGGAAGGUGUGGACGACGUCAAGUCAUCAUGGCCCUUACGGCCAGGGCUACACACGUGCUACAAUGGGAUAUACAAAGAGUCGCAAUACCGCGAGGUGGAGCAAAUCUAGAAAAUAUCUCCCAGUUCGGAUUGUUCUCUGCAACUCGAGAACAUGAAGUUGGAAUCGCUAGUAAUCGUGGAUCAGCAUUGCCACGGUGAAUACGUUCCCGGGUCUUGUACUCACCGCCCGUCACACCAUGGGAGUUGAUUUCAUUCGAAGCGGGGAUGCUAAAGUAGCUACCUUCCACAAUGGGAUUAGCGACUGGGGUGAAGUCGUAACAAGGUAACCGUAGGAGAACCUGCGGUUG